rnacentral:rRNA from 1 species
UGGGGAAUAUUGGACAAUGGGCGCAAGCCUGAUCCAGCCAUGCCGCGUGAGUGAUGAAGGCCUUAGGGUUGUAAAGCUCUUUCGGCGGGGACGAUAAUGACGGUACCCGCAGAAGAAGCCCCGGCUAACUUCGUGCCAGCAGCCGCGGUAAUACGAAGGGGGCUAGCGUUGCUCGGAAUCACUGGGCGUAAAGGGCGCGUAGGCGGACAUUUAAGUCGGGGGUGAAAGCCCAGGGCUCAACCCUGGAAUUGCCUCCGAUACUGGGUGUCUCGAGACCGGAAGAGGUGAGUGGAACUGCGAGUGUAGAGGUGAAGUUCGUAGAUACUCGCAAGAACACCAGUGGCGAAGGCGGCUCACUGGUCCGGUUCUGACGCUGAGGCGCGAAAGCGUGGGGAGCAAACAGGAUUAGAUACCCUGGUAGUCCACGCCGUAAACGAUGGAUGCUAGCCGUUGGCAGGCUUGCCUGUCAGUGGCGCAGCUAACGCUUUAAGCAUCCCGCCUGGGGAGUACGGCCGCAAGGUUAAAACUUAAAUGAAUUGACGGGGUCAUAGCUGUUUCCU